CUAGGAGUUUGACGAAGGGAUGGCCAGGGCAUUGAUGAAGGGGUGGCCAGGAGUUUGAUGAAGUGGUGGCCAGGGGCUUGGUGAAGAUCUGGCCAGGGAUUUUGGUUAAGAGGUGCAGUGGUUUUGUAGAAGGGGGUGGAGGCAACAGAUUGUGAAUGCUCCUAAAAUAGUUUGAAGGGGUCCAAACAGAGACAGGUGAGGGGGGGGGGAGGGGCGCCACAAGAUUGUUUCGCACAGGGCGCCUGAACACCUAAGGCCGGCCCUGCGGAUAACAA